rnacentral:lncRNA from 7 species
CAGCAUUAGCAUAAUAAGAUGUGUACCACUAGUGAAGUUCAAGGGUGACACAAGUUUUGGAAGUAUGAUAGUUGCUGGAAAAGAGAAGAUUACUGACGCAAGAUGAUCUGAGUUGGUUGUUAUGCUGAAAAGAGCAAGGAAAUCUGUGUUUUAUUGUGAAUUGUUUCCUGUAGUGAUAAUAAUGCAAUGUGCAAAAUUUUAGUAAGAGACUCCGUGCCCUAAAGAUUGUACCUUUGAAGUACACAAGAAUGGUAAAACGUGGCAGAAGGGAAGAACUGUUAUAUUUACAGGAAACUGAAGCUCAGAGAUUUUAACUUUUUCUAAGAUCAGGCAGGAGGCUGACUCUCUGGAUCAAGGCCAAUAUGAAAAGAACAGUGUGAUCAUGUCACUUGGCACCUGCUUGUGAUCAGUUCUGAGGUUUGGAGUACAUGGAGUAGAAUAGGAGCACAGGACUGGAGAGAUCUUCUGAAUUACCCAGCUACCUCAGUUAAUGCCUCCCUGUCCCAGGCCUCACAUUAGAGAACCCUUUACAGAAACAGAACAAACUACACUGUAAAAAUGAUAAGGAUUUGCUGGUACUUCUCCUGCUUACAGGUUUUAUCCUGUGCUAUGCUGCUGGAGCUCUUAGUAGUUCUCUUGGCUGAGGCUUCUGCCAUUGCAGUUCAGUUGGAGCUGCAGGUACCCAGCAUGCCCAAAAACCAAGCCUAACUGUAGGUGAGCUCAGUUAAUUUAUGAAAAGGUGAUUCCUGCACUCAUAGAACUUGCAUGAUACUAGCACUGACACAGAUACCCAGCAUCAUUCUGUCCUUGCUCUCCAUUCCCAGUGCAUGUGCCUUGUGCUGAUGCCACAGAGGUGGUCUGGCUUUUAGGUACUCCUUCAUGCAAGCAGCUGCUAAAAUAACACCAGCAGGCAUUAUAAAAUAAUAAUGAAUAAUAACAAUCCCAGGAGUGGCCUGCCCCCCAACCCCCCCAUUAGCGCAGCUGGGGGGUAGGAUAAAUUGUAGCACAUUCUAGUUAAGAUUUUAAAGUCAGCAGGGGAUAUGAGACAGCCCUGCUUUAUGCAGAUGCUUCACACACGAAUAUCUGCAAGGCUGAGUCUCUGCUGACUUGCCUGUUUAACAGGCAACUUGGCUGCUACAGGCACUCCCUGUUUAGCUGCUUUUGUGCUCCAUUAUCAAGGUGCGGGAAGAAAGCAAGCCCUUUUUCUCAUUUCUGUGAACUGUACUGCUAAUGGGCACCUCAUAGAAAGUCUUGUAUUAGAAAGAAAUAGGAGUAAUCAGAGAAGAUCUCAUGGACAGCUGCUGGGUUGAUUACUAGCCAUACCUAUCAUUAUCCCAGAAUAUCUGCAAAUAAAAAGAGCUGUUACAAGUUAGGUGUUGAAUCAGCAACUUCACAGGAAACUAAAAUACUUCAGUAUAAACAACAAUUUCCCCAACUCCCUCCCAUCCAAACAGUCUAUUUUACUUAAUGUCCACUGAUGGCCAUGAUUUACUGCUUUCUUUUCUAUUACUGAGCAUAUAUAUUAGCUCUUCUAAGGCCUUGCAAACCUGCUCAAACAAAUAUCGUCCAUAUUUAUCCAGUGCUGUCAGUGACUAUGAGACAGCCAGAGCCUGUCCGUAAGUCAACUGGCUAUGGUUUUGGUUUUGGCUGCUGAUAUCAUGCAAGGGACUCCAUUCCCAUCAGUAGUACAGCAAAACUGCCUCAAAAUUAAAAAGAAUUUUGCGUGUUCCUGAAGGAAAUACCAAGAAGUAGCAUCUUUGAUAGUCUAGUAAAUGGUUUUUCCCUUGCUGAUAACACCCCAUUUGUCACAGGGGAGAAGUCUGGAAGAAAAGCAUUUUUCUUACUUUAGGAAUGUGCCAGUCAUUUUGGAUUCAUAGGAAAGAGGUCUGGAAGAGGCCUAGUGAAAUCUGAUGAAGAAUGAAAGAUAUGCUUAGCAGCAUUGUGCACCGGGCCAAUAAUGAAUCAUAUGAUCGCUUCAGUUAUCUGGUGCAUGCCAGUGAAAUCUAGUUAUUGUUUUUUCUAUCAUUUAUUUCACAGUUUUGCCUAUCUCCACAGCUGUAAUUGUCAUUCCAUCAGGGUUCUAAGAAAGCAGAACCAUCUGGGGAAAUCAGCAUUGCUUCGCUCAGUCUCUGCUGGAAUUAAAAUGAUCUGACGUGAAGAUGAAGGAGAAAAAAACUCCAAAAUACCUUGCUGUGGGAAUUAACCAGGGCUGUUGACCGGUAUCUAUAGUCCAGUGUGAGAAAAAUUUUAUUUAAAUCCUGGAAUGUAAACUAGCAUUACAAAAAAAGGAAGGAGAGAGUUUGAUUCUAUUUUAAUAGAACAGAAAUUGCUGUCCUAAAAUUGUUGUGCAUAUGCACUCUAAUGAAAGCCAAUGAAUUGUUCCUAGUUAUAAAGAUGCCAGGAUGAGGCUAGCAUGCAUUAGAAUCUGUGAAAAAAAUAUUAAUUCUCAUUCCUAAAAUAUGACUUCAUAUUCCCAGGAUUGACGAGAUGAAGGAUAUGCAGUAAAUUAGUCCAACAUCCUCUUACCUCUAGGUCUGAACCCUGCUUAGAUCAUUGUUUGAAAUAAAUUGCUGUCUUUAUC